rnacentral:rRNA from 1 species
AUUGAACGCUGGCGGCAGGCCUAACACAUGCAAGUCGAGCGAGCGGCGGACGGGUGAGUAAUGUCUGGGAAACUGCCUGAUGGAGGGGGAUAACUACUGGAAACGGUAGCUAAUACCGCAUACCCUCAGAUGUGCCCAGAUGGGAUUAGCUAGUAGUUGGGGUAACGGCUCACCUAGGCGACGAUCCCUAGCUGGUCUGAGAGGAUGACUAGCCACACUGGAACUGAGACACGGGCCAGACGCCUACGGGAGGCAGCAGUGGGGAAUAUUGCACAAUGGGCGCAAGCCGGAUGAAGCCAUGCCGCGUGUGUGAAGAAGGCCUUCGGGUUGUAAAGCACUUUCAGCGGGGAGGCGUUACCUGCAGAAGAAGAACGGGCUAACUCUGUGCCAGCAGCCGCGGUAAUUC